UGGACAUGGGGGCACCCUGACCGCAAUGCCGCGUGAGUGAAGAAGGCCUUCGGGUUGUAAAGCUCUUUUGUCAGGGAAGAAACACCGGCUCUAACACAGUCCGGGAAUGACGGUACCUGAAGAAUAAGCACCGGCUAACUACGUGCCAGCAGCCGCGGUAAUACGUAGGGUGCAAGCGUUAAUCGGAAUUACUGGGCGUAAAGCGUGCGCAGGCGGUUAUACAAGACAGGCGUGAAAUCCCCGGGCUUAACCUGGGAAUGGCGCCUGUGACUGUAUAGCUAGAGUGUGUCAGAGGGGGGUAGAAUUCCACGUGUAGCAGUGAAAUGCGUAGAUAUGUGGAGGAAUACCAAUGGCGAAGGCAGCCCCCUGGGAUAACACUGACGCUCAUGCACGAAA
rnacentral:rRNA from 1 species